UAUAUUGUACCAGAAGUAUUAUAGAUUGUACGGUAUUGUUGGACGUCUCUUUUUUUAUUCAUCACACUUGGACCAUCUCAUUGCUCAACUCGUGUAUUGUACUGCAUUGAAGCCCUUCAAAUUUCCUCUUUUGGACGACAUUUAUUUGAGUGGGCCAGUUGGCUUCCACUUAGCUUUUAUUUCCAUUUUCAUUGCAUGAUUCUGAGACUUGCUCUAUUGUUUGCUUUCAAGAUGCUAUGGUGAGGCUGAGCUCUCUAUUCAGUACCUCCUUGAUCUGAGGUUUUUGAAACUUAUUUAUUUACUGCAGUAGAUCAUAUUGUCGUGAUCCUUCUUAUUGAGUUUUCUCUGUUUGCCCGUUCCACCACCCUCUUUCCAAAAGCAGGUACUUCGUUGGGUAUAUGAUAAAAAAAAUAUGCAUCUUCUUUGGACGAGAAGAAUUUUGGAUCAAUAAGUUGACAAUUUCAUGAUUCAAACUUCGCUUCUUCGUCCGCUACUGCCGGUGAAGCUGCUAUCCUUUUGGUUCUACAUUUGUAAUAUAGUUACUAAGCUUGGAGUUCUUAGUGAGCCCCAUUAUAACCUCGGUGUACAUAUUUCUAACAAAAGAGCUUGCAGAACUAAUUAAGAAAAACGAGAGAUACUUCAUUUAAUAUUUAUUUGUAUUUGCGAUUUGCUAUAGAGUAGAAUCAAUCCUUGCUGCUUCAGUUACGAGCUUGAUAUAGCACAGGAUCAUGUUUUUAAUUGUUGUUGACUGACAUUUACAAUUUUAAGCUGUAACAGUUAAUUUCGCUACAUUUUUCUUGAGGUGAUUGAUUAAAAAUAUACUAAGAAAAGCCAACGAAAGAUAUGGUCUUUUUUUUUAGGACAACAAGCGAUAAAGGCCAUUUAUGCCAACUGCUUGAUUUCUGGAUUGAAAAUUUGAAGCUCUUUAACAAGGCCAAAAAAGUUAUUUAAAAUUGCUAAGUCAAGAUUACUCCUGUCUCAGGUCAUACCGACUCUGUUUGUUUUUCCAUCUCUAUGUUCUUAUUUGUUUUUCCAUCUCUAUAUUCUUAUUUGUAUCUUCAAAUCUAUGUUAAAUGAAUGAAAGGAAAAUGACCGAUAGUUGUCUACAUUUCAUCAUGUUUCACCUAGCACAAUCACUUUUUUUAAAACUAUGUCCCCCUUUUUUGAUUCAAUAUCCUGAUUACCCUUGGAAAACUAAUUAAAGCACCAUUUUUUACUUGAAGUAUAGUGCUUGAAAAGGAAAAUACACAAAUGAGGAUGUAGAGAUCCUUCUCUUUGUCAAAUUUUAGUUGUGAAGCUCAUUUAUCUUAUAGUAGUACUUUUUGUUGGUGAUGGAAAUGAAAAUAUGUAGCUUAUUUCUAAAAAAUGUAUCUUAUUUCUACUAUGAGAUGGAUAGCGGCAAAAGAAAAACAAGGAGAAUCAUAUAUAGCUGGAGAACCCUCUAACACCUACAUUAGCAUAGAGAUCUUGAAACUUUAGCUUCUUUUUUGGAAUAUUCUUCAUUUUCAGCUUGCCUGCUUCUUGAUGUUUCAUUGUCACAAGUAAAACUGAGGGGUAAAGGUUGUUUUACUUAAUUUUCUCAAGAUAAUCCUACCACGGCGCAGUCAGAGGGCUGUUAUUCAUUUAGUGAAUUUAGCAGGAAACAUGAUCCAUAGAAUGUUACUACUGCUUCUCUAAGUUGGAAUGCUUAUGAAAAUCAAAUAUUUUACACUUUUUUUUUUUGGAAUUUUGAAGUUGGAGUUCUGUUUGGCUGUAGUUUUUGCAAAGAAUAUUUGGUUGUUUGAAUAUAUUGAAAGUGAAAAAAGUGAAAACUGAGUUUUAUGUGUUUUCCAAAUACAACUUCAAGUUGUAUAUGGAAUUUUCAUGGCCAAACCUUGAUUUCCAAAUAAAGUGAAGAAAAUUUUCGGAAAAAAGUGAAAAAUUCUGCCAAACGGGUAUUAAGUACCUAUAAAACUUAAGUUGAAUUUAGUGGUCAUACAGUUUGAGCAUUUUCCUUCUUUGAUAUACUUGUGUGAAUAGAAUUGCGUCUUGCUUACAGAGUUUGAAGCAAACAUUUUCUCCUUUGCUAUAAUCUCUUCUGUCUAAAUGUUUUUUCGUUCCUGUACUAAUGUGAAGAGAAGAAGCAUCCAAGAGCACUACAAAAAUAGGAACGUGGAAAAGUCAAAGCUGCAUUACUGCUCACAAUUGCUAGAUGAGAGGCUACUAAUAUGUUAACAUACAUGUAAUGAAUUUUACAGUGGUUCUAGGUUGCCGCUGAUUUGGAAGAGUCCUUAAUUAACAGAAAUUGGUAGCUUUGCCUUCGAUUGUCUGAGCAUGGGACUCUACCUGGUAGUGCAAUAACUGAAGCUGAGUAGUGGAAGGGCCAUGAAAACUGAAGCCUACCUCCACUAGCUACAAAAGCCAGGAUACCCUUUGUCUGAGCCUUACAUUGGUAGAGUUCAAUACGUAUUCGCCAUUUGACUGUGCCAAAAUUCAAAGCACUUUAGAAGUGGGUAACCUCUCACCUUAAAGUCGCUUGAAGCUAUAAUUUUCCUCCUUUGCCUAAUGAAGGCACAAUUUUUCUUUUGUUGCUCCCAAUUGCGCUGCUACUGUGUCUUUGUGCUCAAAUCUUGAUUCUUUUUUUUUUUGGGGGGGGGGGGGGGGGGGGGGGUUGGUUUGUCUUUUUCAAUUCUUAGAGAGAUUUCUUUACGGGCUCAACUUAUUUUGUAAAGAUUUGUCUUCCAUGUAUUGAACUAUUUUGCAGUUUGUGUUGUGAGUACUCUAAGCAUAUGCAUUUUUGUAUUCUUUACUCUUUCAUAUAUAUCAGAGUCGCUUCAUGUACAACUUUUUUUAGGUGAUAUUAUUAUUCUACCUUCACUUGGUCCCUGUAUACUGUAAUUAAAAGUUAUACAUCCAAGCAACACUAUCAUGUAAACUAAAAUUGUUGGGCCCGUGCAGCGCACGGGCAGCCCCUUCUAGUACUUUAUAGAAAUGGCACUUGUGGUGUACGAAAUCAUUGUACGAAAGGAAAUGUAAAUUGUACGAGACUUAGGAGGCCGAACACAGCAAAAACAAGUUGUACUCUGCUCAUCCAUGGUUGGACCUUUAAACCCCAAGUCCAAAAGAUCAGCUCUUCUCUUUAUCAUUCUGACAAGUGUACUUUUUGGUUGACACGUGUUUAGUACUUCUAUUUAAGUGGGACAACUGCUUCCCACUUCUAUUUCCUUUUCUAUUUUCUAUUCCUUUUUUCACAUUUGUGAUAUUGAUUUUCAGUUUCCACUCUCAUGUGGACUGUUUCAAUGGCCUGUCUGCCAAAUGGUGUCUUAAUGUUUUGGUAUUUUAAUUUUAGUUAUCUAAUCAAAAUUUAUGACUUAUUAGCCAUUCUUCUUUGUUUGUCAUUUUUGUUGCAGAUAGUGGUUCAAAUGCUAAUUCAGAUUCACAUGUAGAUUUAUAUCCAGAUGAUUUUAGAUUUGUAAGGAAGUCAAAAUAUGUUGAUGAAGAAAGGGAAGAGAAUUCGAAAAAGCUGAAGGAGAAUAGCAGCUCAAUAUUAAAGAAGUUGAUGAGUUCAUAUUGUCAACAACUGAGGCAAAAUAUGAGGUGCAUAUGAAUGUAUCAGUUAUGAUAGGUACCUUACCCUUGAAAGGUUCUCAAAAGUGACAAGAGUGCGCAGUUCUUUCGUUAUGGAGUGUAUAUGUGUCAUUGUACUGAAGUCGGGUCCAUAGUUCUCUGUUUGUCUCUAUGUCUGAAAUUCAACUAAUAUCUUCUCAACGGAGGAACUAUUACAUCUGUUGAUAAAUGAUAACGAUGGUAUCUUCGAAUGAAUUGAAUCUGUCAUCAAGCAUUACUAUAUUAUGAAGGUUAAAGAUUUUUGUAAAUGUGGGAAAUUGAAGACUAUGAUGUGCGACUAUUUGAAUGUAUGUAAAGGCAAGUUUCGAAAGAAUCUGAUGAUCUUUUCUGAAACCUACUAUACUUCACUUGACAAAAUUAUACUGGAAUUGAUAUGCUGUCAUUUCAUUCGGUAGGAUGAUGAAUAAGCUGACAACGAUGAGGACUUGGAACUCUUGGAAAGAUCUAUAAUCUGACAUAGAUGAUGAUGGAACAAAUUAGGUACCAUUUCCAUCUCAUAAAUUGGCUAUGACGUGUGAGCUGUCCUUUGCAGAAUCCAAACUCAAUUCCCCGUGUCGCAAGAUAUCUAUAUAAGAAUAGCUGCCUCUGAAUUAGAUAGUCCGGGGAAAUCAGAUGGAAAGACGGGAAACAUGUCUUAUUGAUCCGACAAUUAUCAAUUGGUGUGAUUUUGGUAAUCCAAGCUUGGUGAUUUGCCACAGAAGAAGGAAGAAUGCUUUGAAGCUCAAGAAGAGAGGAAAAUGGGGAUACAACGACAAUUUGAAGAUGGAUUACAACAGUGGUAGUUGAAGAAUUUGAAAUGCCAACGAUCUAUCUAACCAUAACCAAAGCUGCCAAUAACUUUUCAGUUACCAGAAAGAUUGGAGACAGGGGCUUUGGUCCUGUUUACAAGAUAACAACACUUCACCAAAAGCAUAUAUCAGAUGAAGUCUAGAUGACUUGUCAGAAGCUUCCUGGUCCACCGGCGUUAAACCUUCAUCUUUAGUUUCAGUAUACAAGUUGUAUGAUAAACACUGCCAGAUAAAGCUUAACCUUGUAAAACCAAAGGAGACUUGGAAGAUAACAUUGGGAAGAAGUGUGGGAAUAGAGGAAAGAGCCUUUUGGUGCAUGAACCUGUAGGUAUGGUGAACUUCUGCAACAGCUUAACAGGUUCUACCGUUCUUAUAAUAUAAGGAUAACUAGCUGACUGAUAGAAGGGACUAUUUUAGUUUUAGUGUUUAUACUUACAUGGUGCCAUUCAAUAUUAUCAAUUAUGAUGUAUAUCCAAUUUGUCUCCAUCAAAACUUCGUAGCCGAGGAUAUCAGGGAGUUCAAGUCAGAUGUUGAAACCCCAAUACUCUAAUUCCAAUGCAACUUCAAUUGCUUCCAGGGAGAAUUUAGGUACACGGGAGUUCUCGGUUGAUGAAAUUUGCCAAGCAAAUGAAAAUUUCUCUGCAGUACACAAGAUUGGUGACGAGGGGUUUGGUACAGUGUACAAUGGAAAGCUUAUGGAUAGAUUUACUUGCAUUAAGUUAGAAUGUUGAAAAUAUAUUGUCUUUAACUCUUUGUUUAAUUAUCACUCCAAUGAUGGUACAUAAAAAACCUUUCAUAUAUGUUGCUAUUUACAAUGCAAUAACAAUUAAUGUUAAUAAAAGUUGUUUACAAUCA